rnacentral:rRNA from 1 species
GCUCAGUAACACGUGGAUAAUCUGCCCUAUGGUGGAGGAUAACCCCGGGAAACUGGGGAUAAUACUCCAUAAGUCAGGAGUACUGGAAUGUCUCCUAACUGAAAGUUUCGGCGCCAUAGGAUGAAUCUGCGGCCGAUUAGGUAGUUGUUGGGGUAACGGCCCAACAAGCCCGUAAUCGGUACGGGUUGUGGGAGCAAGAGCCCGGAGAUGGAAUCUGAGACACGAUUCCAGGCCCUACGGGGCGCAGCAGGCGCGAAAACUUUACAAUGCAGGAAACUGUGAUAAGGGAACCCCGAGUGCCCGUACACGCGGGCUGUCCCGGUGUUUAAAACACAUCGGAAGAAAGGGCCGGGCAAGACCGGUGCCAGCCGCCGCGGUAAUACCGGCGGCUCGAGUGGUGACCACUUUUAUUGGGCUUAAAGCGUUCGUAGCUUGAUUUUUAAGUCUCUUGGGAAAUCUCACGGCUUAACUGUGAGGCGUCUAAGAGAUACUGGGAAUCUAGGGACCGGGAGAGGUAAGAGGUACUUCAGGGGUAGAAGUGAAAUUCUGUAAUCCUUGAGGGACCACCGAUGGCGAAGGCAUCUUACCAGAACGGCUUCGACAGUGAGGAACGAAAGCUGGGGGAGCGAACGGGAUUAGAUACCCCGGUAGUCCCAGCCGUAAACUAUGCGCGUUAGGUGUGCCUGUAACUACGAGUUACCGGGGUGCCGAAGUGAAAACGUGAAACGUGCCGCCUGGGAAGUACGGUCGCAAGGCUGAAACUUAAAGGAAUUGGCGGGGGAGCACCACAACGGGUGGAGCCUGCGGUUUAAUUGGACUCAACGCCGGGCAGCUCACCGGAUAGGACAGCGGAAUGAUAGCCGGGCUGAAGACCUUGCUUGACCAGCUGAGAGGAGGUGCAUGGCCGUCGUCAGUUCGUACUGUGAAGCAUCCUGUUUAGUCAGGCAACGAGCGAGACCCACGCCAACAGUUGCUAGCAUGUUCUCCGGAAUGAUGAGGACACUGUUGGGACCGCCUCUGCUAAAGAGGAGGAAAGAGUGGACGACGGUA